UGGGGAAUAUUGCACAAUGGGCGCAAGCCUGAUGCAGCCAUGCCGCGUGUGUGAAGAAGGCCUUCGGGUUGUAAAGCACUUUCAGCGAGGAGGAAGGGUAGUGUGUUAAUAGCACAUUGCAUUGACGUUACUCGCAGAAGAAGCACCGGCUAACUCCGUGCCAGCAGCCGCGGUAAUACGGAGGGUGCAAGCGUUAAUCGGAAUUACUGGGCGUAAAGCGCACGCAGGCGGUUUGUUAAGUCAGAUGUGAAAUCCCCGCGCUUAACGUGGAACUGCAUUUGAAACUGGCAAGCUAGAGUCUUGUAGAGGGGGGUAGAAUUCCAGGUGUAGCGGUGAAAUGCGUAGAGAUCUGGAGGAAUACCGGUGGCGAAGGCGGCCCCCCUGGACA
rnacentral:rRNA from 1 species